GCCGAGGUAGCUCAGCCGGUAGAGCAGAGGACUGAAAAUCCUUGUGUCGAUGGUUCGAUUCCGUCCCUCGGCACCA
rnacentral:tRNA from 3 species